CCUACGGGGGGCUGCAGUGGGGAAUAUUGGACAAUGGGCGAAAGCCUGAUCCAGCCAUGCCGCGUGUGUGAAGAAGGCCUUCAGGUUGUAAAGCACUUUCAGUGGGGAAGAAAGCCUUGGGGCUAAUACCCUCGAGGAAGGACAUCACCCACAGAAGAAGCACCGGCUAACUCCGUGCCAGCAGCCGCGGUAAUACGGAGGGUGCGAGCGUUAAUCGGAAUUACUGGGCGUAAAGCGCGCGUAGGCGGUCUGAUAAGCCGGUUGUGAAAGCCCCGGGCUCAACCUGGGAACGGCAUCCGGAACUGUCAGGCUAGAGUGCAGGAGAGGAAGGUAGAAUUCCCGGUGUAGCGGUGAAAUGCGUAGAGAUCGGGAGGAAUACCAGUGGCGAAGGCGGCCUUCUGGACUGACACUGACGCUGAGGUGCGAAAGCGUGGGUAGCAAACAGGAUUAGAUACCCCGGUAGUC
rnacentral:rRNA from 1 species